UGAGUAACACGUGGGUAACCUACCUAUAAGACUGGGAUAACUUCGGGAAACCGGAGCUAAUACCGGAUAACAUUUGGAACCGCAUGGUUCUAAAGUGAAAGAUGGUUUUGCUAUCACUUAUAGAUGGACCCGCGCCGUAUUAGCUAGUUGGUAAGGUAACGGCUUACCAAGGCGACGAUACGUAGCCGACCUGAGAGGGUGAUCGGCCACACUGGAACUGAGACACGGUCCAGACUCCUACGGGAGGCAGCAGUAGGGAAUCUUCCGCAAUGGGCGAAAGCCUGACGGAGCAACGCCGCGUGAGUGAUGAAGGGUUUCGGCUCGUAAAACUCUGUUAUUAGGGAAGAACAAAUGUGUAAGUAACUGUGCACGUCUUGACGGUACCUAAUCAGAAAGCCACGGCUAACUACGUGCCAGCAGCCGCGGUAAUACGUAGGUGGCAAGCGUUAUCCGGAAUUAUUGGGCGUAAAGCGCGCGUAGGCGGUUUCUUAAGUCUGAUGUGAAAGCCCACGGCUCAACCGUGGAGGGUCAUUGGAAACUGGGAAACUUGAGUGCAGAAGAGGAAAGUGGAAUUCCAUGUGUAGCGGUGAAAUGCGCAGAGAUAUGGAGGAACACCAGUGGCGAAGGCGACUUUCUGGUCUGUAACUGACGCUGAUGUGCGAAAGCGUGGGGAUCAAACAGGAUUAGAUACCCUGGUAGUCCACGCCGUAAACGAUGAGUGCUAAGUGUUAGGGGGUUUCCGCCCCUUAGUGCUGCAGCUAACGCAUUAAGCACUCCGCCU
rnacentral:rRNA from 1 species